GCUUAUUGUAGGCAACAUUAAUGUGAACCUUUGAGUGUGGGUGUGGGAGUGUAGUUUUUGUGGUUUGUCUGUUAUUUGUAUUGAAAGGAAAGACGGAGAGCUAUGAUGAACAGGAUUGUUGUAACUUACUGCUAGGGAUUCUCUCUUAAAACACCAUCUAGUCCAUCUAAAUUGACCUUAACAUAGUCAAAGUCAUGAAUAAUAGUGGUGUUAAAAUACAAAGCCAGCAUCUCACUCACACUAUGCAAUGCUGGCAGACAUACCUACAGACGACCCCCUCACGGAACAGCAACGACUUCUGUGCCUCAGACAGUCAGUUCUCCCACUGCCGUGUGAAUGGUAUCCCGAAGCAGCGCAUGUGUGACGGCUUCAGUGACUACUGCAGUAACGGAGAGGAUGAGUCUGUGCAGCUGUGUGGCACUGACGAGUGCCGGGAGAAGAAUGUCGGGUGUGAGCCCCUGUGCAUUAACACUCGAGAGUCAUACUACUGCCAGUGCCGGCCAGGAUACUGACUCGUGAGGAAGUUCAACUGUGAAGACGUUGACGAGUGCGUGGAGUCGGCCAGAUCAUCUCCAUGUCGGGUUCCUGAAGAUGCGUCGACGUGGUAUCAUCCACACAAGCUUCCCAACCCACCCAGCGUACCACAAGACAACAGGCACUGAGGUGGACAGGAGCGCGCGGCUGCAUGCACCAUUGAACAGGACGGUAUUAUAUUCCUCCCACAGGAGUAUGACUACAGCGAAGCAAGCCCAGAAUAAAGUGUUGAGUGACCAUGAUGAUUCAGUACUACUAACACCAAAGAGGUGAGGGAAGUGUUUGGAGUGAGC